GACAGUUAGAGCACGAAUUGUAAGAGAAGGUAGUAAAUGUGAUAUAUCUUUAAUAACUGUUGUUAAAAUCAUCUCAAUCUUGGGAAAUAGGCCGCAACUUAAACUUAAUCUGUUUAAACACCUGUUAAACCUGGACAUUGUUAUUAGUUAAAUUCAUCAAUGUCAUCAUAUUGAAACCAUUUCUACACAAUUCUUUUAACAUGUUAUGACACUUAUCACUUACUAAUUUUGAUAGUUUUCAAACAGUUUAAUGCAGAUUAAUGCAGUAUAAAGCCUUAACAUGAUUUCAUACGUAGGAGCAUUGGUGUGGUGAAUAGAGACAUCAUGCACCCUGUUUGCUAAUCCACGACUGACCAAUCCUGGCUGUGACAGAUGUCGUUCAGCCGACAGCAGGUUGUGGCCUUAGAUUCCUGACACAGGAGGUUGUGACCUUAGAUUCCUGACACAGGAGGUUGUGGCCUUAGAUUCCUGACACAGCAGGUUGUGGCCUUAGAUUCCUGACACAGCAGGUUGUGGCCUUAGAUUCCUGACACAGGAGGUUGUGGCCUUAGAUUCCUGACACAGCAGGUUGUGGCCUUAGAUUCCUGACACAGCAGGUUGUGGCCUUAGAUUCCUGACACAGCAGGUUGUGGCCUUAGAUUCCUGACACAGCAGGUUGUGGCCUUAGAUUCCUGACACAGCAGGUUGUGGCCUUAGAUUCCUGACACAGCAGGUUGUGGCCUUAGAUUCCUGACACAGCAGGUUGUGGCCUUAGAUUCCUGACACAGGAGGUUGUGGCCUUAGAUUCCUGACACAGCAGGUUGUGGCCUUAGAUUCCUGACACAGCAGGUUGUGGCCUUAGAUUCCUGACACAGCAGGUUGUGGCCUUAGAUUCCUGACACAGCAGGUUGUGGCCUUAGAUU